rnacentral:rRNA from 1 species
UGGGGAAUUUUGGACAAUGGGGGAAACCCUGAUCCAGCCAUCCCGCGUGUGCGAUGAAGGCCUUCGGGUUGUAAAGCACUUUUGGUAGGAAAGAAACGUCAUGGGUUAAUAUCCCGUGAAACUGACGGUAUCUGCAGAAUAAGCACCGGCUAACUACGUGCCAGCAGCCGCGGUAAUACGUAGGGUGCAAGCGUUAAUCGGAAUUACUGGGCGUAAAGCGUGCGCAGGCGGUUCGGAAAGAAAGAUGUGAAAUCCCAGAGCUCAACUUUGGAACUGCAUUUUUAACUACCGGACUAGAGUGUGUCAGAGGGAGGUGAGAUUCCGCGUGUAGCAGUGAAAUGCGUAGAUAUGCGGAGAAACACCGAUGGCGAAGGCAGCCACCUGAGAUAACACUGACGCUCAUGCACGAAAGCGUGGGGAGCAAACAGG